rnacentral:rRNA from 1 species
GACGAACGCUGGCGGCGUGCUUAACACAUGCAAGUCGAACGAUGAAGCCGGAGCUUGCUCUGGUGAAUUAGUGGCGAACGGGUGGGUAACACGUGAGUAACCUGCCCUUGACUCUGGGAUAACUGCGGGAAACUGUAGCUAAUACCGGAUACGACCCUCGGAGGCAUCUCCUGGGGGUGGAAAGAAUUUCGGUCAAGGAUGGACUCGCGGCCUAUCAGCUAGUUGGUGAGGUAAAGGCUGACCAAGGCGACGACGGGUAGCCGGCCUGAGAGGGUGACCGGCCACACUGGGACUGAGACACGGCCCAGACUCCUACGGGAGGCAGCAGUGGGGAAUAUUGCACAAUGGGCGCAAGCCUGAUGCAGCAACGCCGCGUAAGGGAUGACGGCCUUCGGGUUGUAAACCUCUUUUAGCAGGGAAGAAGCGAAAGUGACGGUACCUGCAGAAAAAGCACCGGCUAACUACGUGCCAGCCGCCGCGGUAA